rnacentral:ncRNA from 1 species
GAACCGAUUACGGGAGAGACCGGUUGCAAAAAAACCGGCGCCGAAGGAGCAACCGCCCCGGAAACUCUCAGGCUGAAGGACCGAAAUCGGCUC